rfam:Streptomyces longwoodensis strain DSM 41677 genomic scaffold PRJNA299227_s011, whole genome shotgun sequence.
GCCGGUCCUCGGUAGUGGCCCCCGGGCAACGACAGCCCCGGGUGCUUCGAUCGAAGACCGGC